rnacentral:rRNA from 1 species
GACAGAGGGUGCAAACGUUUGUCCGGAAUUAUUGGGCGUAAAAGAGCUCGUAGGCGGCUUGUCACGUCGGUUGUGAAAGCCCGGGGCUUGACCCCGGGUCUGCAGUCGAUACGGGCAGGCUAGAGUGUGGUAGGGGGAGAUCGGAAUUCCUGGUGUAGCGGUGAAAUGCGCAGAUAUCAGGAGGAACACCGGUGGCGAAGGCGGAUCUCUGGGCCAUUACUGACGCUGAGGAGCGAAAGCGUGGGGGAGCGAACAGG